rnacentral:miRNA from 1 species
UAGCCAAGGAGACUGCCUACG